rnacentral:rRNA from 1 species
UCGCUCUUCAACGAGGAAUCCCUAGUAAGUACAAGUCAUCAGCUUGUGCUGAUUACGUCCCUGCCCUUUGUACACACCGCCCGUCGCUACUACCGAUUGAAUGGCUUAGUGAGGCCCUCGGAUCGAUGCUCGGAGACUGGAAACAGUUUCCGUUCGUUGAGAAGUUGGUCAAACUUGGUCAUUUAGAGGAAGUAAAAGUCGUAACAAGGUUUCCGUAGGUGAACCUGCGGAAGGAUCAUUAUUAUAUUCGGGUAGUGUUUACCGCUAGAAUUCGUUGUUCUGUGUGUUUGUUUUGUUUGUUUGCUGUUGUUUGGUUUUCCCUUGCCUUUAAUUAGGUAUAGCUCCUUCACGUUUUCUAGUAGUAAACACGCCCAAAUAUAAAGGAGCAAGAUACCCUUUAUAAUUAAAACCCACUCUUAAAUAUUUAUUUGUAUUUUAAAUGAUAAAUUUAAAGAUCACUUUCAACAACGGAUCUCUUGGCUCUCGCAUCGAUGAAGAACGUAGCGAAGUGCGAUAAGUAAUGUGAAUUGCAGUAUUCCGUGAAUCAUCGAAUCUUUGAACGCAAAUUGCACUUUCUGGUAUUCCGGAAAGUAUGCCUGUUUGAGGGUCAGUUAAAUAAAAAUCGGUGUUGUUGCUGCCUUUCGUGGUGACGCGUCGGAGUUGAGUCGUCUUACCUUCGGUUAAGUGACUUAAAAUUUUGCAUGAUUUUCGAACGUAUUUAAAUUGCUUAUGCCCUUAUGGUACGUUUGAGAUAUCGAAUGUUUUAUUAGGUUCGGUCAUCCUCAUGAUUCGUGCCUAUAAUUUUUCAUUAAAUGACCUCAAAUCAGUAAGAAUACCCGCUGAACUUAAGCAUAUCAAUAAGCGGAGGAAAAGAAAAUAACAAUGAUUCCCUUAGUAACGGCGAGUGAAGAGGGAAGAGCUCAAAUUUUAAAUCUGCUAGGUUUUACUUAUCAGAAUUGUAAUUUGAAGAAGCGUUUUCCGCGUCUCGGUUGGCCUAAGUCCUUUGGGAUAAGGUAUCAUGGAGGGUGAGAAUCCCGUUCGGUUGACUUUAUGACGCUCUACGGUACGCUCUCUAAGAGUCGAGUUGUUUGGGAUUGCAGCUCAAAAUGGGAGGUAAAUUUCUCCUAAGGCUAAAUAUCGGCGAGAGACCGAUAGCGAACAAGUACCGUGAGGGAAAGAUGAAAAGAACUUUGAAAAGAGAGUAAAAUAGUACGUGAAAUUGUUGAAAGGGAAACGAUUGAAGUCAGUCGUACCGACGAGAAAUCAGCUUAUCGUGUGUGAACUUGUGGGCGUGCGUGAGUUUCGGCCUCGCUGUUUGCAUGUUUGUGCGCUUUGGGUGUACUUUUUCGUAUGGUAGGCCAACGUCAGUUUCGAUCACUAUAAAAUGACCGGCGGAAUGUAGCUUCGAUUUCGGUUGAAGUGUUAUAGCCUCUGGUAGAUGUGGUAAUUGGGACUGAGGAUUGCAACGAAUAUCCUUUGGGCUAUCCGUCUGACCUCUGAAAGUUGCUCAGGUGCCGAAAGCUUGCUUACGGUCAUUUAAGUUGACGGUCAAUAGGUUAGAACGUGAUUACAUUCGUUAAGGACGUUGGCGUAAUGGCUUUAAACGACCCGUCUUGAAACACGGACCAAGGAGUCUAGCAUAUAUGCGAGUGUU